rnacentral:rRNA from 1 species
GGUAUUUUGACCGUGCAAAGGUAGCAUAAUCAUUAGUUUUUUAAUUGAAAGCUGGUAUGAAAGGUUGGAUGAGAAAUAAGCUGUCUCUAUUUAAUUUUAUUAGAAUUUUAUUUUUAAGUUAAAAAGCUUAAAUUUAAAUAGAAGACGAGAAGACCCUAUAGAGUUUUAUUUAUUUUUUUAAUAAAAUUAAUAGUAUUAAUUAUUUUUAUUAAAGGAAUAAAUUUGGUUGGGGUGAUUGAAAAAUUUAAUAAACUUUUUUUAUAGGUAUACAUUUAUAUAUGAUUAAUUGAUCCUUAAUUUAAGAUUAAAAGAUAAAAUUACCUUAGGGAUAACAGCGUAAUUUUUUUUGAGAGUUCUAAUCGAAAGAAAAGAUUGCGACCUCGAUGUUGGAUUAAAAUAAAAUUUUGGUGUAGAAGCUAAAG